rnacentral:tRNA from 1 species
AUCCGAGUGCUGGAACUGGUAGACAGUCUUAACUUAAGCUU